rnacentral:rRNA from 1 species
CGACGUAGUUGAUCAGUGGCUCAGGACGGACGCUGGCGGCGUGCCUAACACAUGCAAGUCGAACGAAGCAGGAACUUCGGUUUCUGCUUAGUGGCGGACGGGUGAGUAACGCGUGAGUAACCUGCCUUUCAGAGGGGGAUAGCGUUUGGAAACGAACGGUAAUACCGCAUGAUAUCAUUGAGCUGCAUGGCUCGAUGAUCAAAGGAGCAAUCCGCUGAAAGAUGGACUCGCGUCCGAUUAGCUAGUUGGCGGAUAACAGCCCACCAAGGCGACGAUCGGUAGCCGAACUGAGAGGUUGAUCGGCCACAUUGGGACUGAGACACGGCCCAGACUCCUACGGGAGGCAGCAGUGGGGGAUAUUGCACAAUGGAGGAAACUCUGAUGCAGCAACGCCGCGUGAGGGAAGAAGGUCUUCGGAUUGUAAACCUUUGUCUUUGGUGAAGAUAAUGACGGUAGCCAAGGAGGAAGCUCCGGCUAACUACGUG